GAGAGAGCACUUUCAUCUAGUACGAAUGUUAACGCCGUUAAUGGGGAAUUCCCUCUCUCUUCUUUUUUGUUUCUUCGAAGAAAAGAAAAGAUAAACCCAACACCUUUUUCAGCCAGAAAACUAUGGAUAAUGGUAGAUCAAAAUCACCCAUCCUUAUUUUAUUCUUCUCCUCUUUUUCUUACGAUCUUUGUUGAUUUUGUUUCCCGAUUUUUGCAGAUUUUUUCUUUCUUUUUCUUUUUCUAAUUUUUGCACUAUAUUUCCAAUUUUUUCCUUGUUAGUUCCUCAAUUUUGUUUUGGACGAAGACUUAUGCGAGAUCUCAUCCCCAGGCUACAACUCCUCUUCUCGAAGUUUGAAAAGUUCCAAUUUCUAGGUUUAGCACCUGCCUCGAUAUGACUCUCUGUAUUCAUUUAUUUCUGGUAGUCUUUUGGUUUAAGUUUCUUCAAAAAAAAUUUGAAUCUGAAUCUUAAUGCAAUUUUUUGUUUUAUACGUUUGGCAUGGUUUGCUUCACUUUUGGGGUUUUGAUUUUGUUUCUAUUUUAUAUGGAAUGUCUUGAGUUGUGAGAUGGCAGUAGUUUGAUUUAGAUUUGUUUUUCGUAGCAUAACUUGUAGAUUGAAAAAUGAUCUAGCACUAUUGGGGUUUUAUUCUUCUUGCA